rnacentral:rRNA from 1 species
UACGUAGGGGGGCUAGCGUUGUCCGGAAUCAUUGGGCGUAAAGCGCGUGUAGGCGGCCCGGUAAGUCCGCUGUGAAAGUCGGGGGGCUCAACCCUCGGAUGCCGGUGGAUACUGUCGGGCUUGAGUGCGGAAGAGGCGAGUGGAAUUCCUGGUGUAGCGGUGAAAUGCGCAGAUAUCAGGAGGAACACCAAUUGCGAAGGCAGCUCGCUGGGACGGUACUGACGCUGAGACGCGAAAGCGUGGGGAGCGAACAGG